rnacentral:rRNA from 1 species
AACGAACGCUGGCGGCAUGCCUAACACAUGCAAGUCGAACGAGACCUUCGGGUCUAGUUGCGCACGGGUGCGUAACGCGUGGGAACCUGCCCUUAGGUUCGGAAUAACUCCCCGAAAGGGGUGCUAAUACCGGAUAAUGUCUUCGGACCAAAGAUUUAUCGCCUUUGGAUGGGCCCGCGUUGGAUUAGCUAGUUGGUAGGGUAAAAGCCUACCAAGGCGACGAUCCAUAGCUGGUCUGAGAGGAUGAUCAGCCACACUGGGACUGAGACACGGCCCAGACUCCUACGGAAGGCAGCAGUGGGGAAUAUUGGACGAUGGGCGAAAGCCUGAUCCAGCAAUGCCGCGUGAGUGAUGAAGGCCUUAGGGUUGUAAAGCUCUUUUACCCGGGAUGAUAAUGACAGUACCGGGAGAAUAAGCUCCGGCUAACUCCGUG